AACGAACGCUGGCGGCAGGCUUAACACAUGCCAGUCGAAAGCCCCGCAAGGGGAGUGGCAGACGUGUGAGUAACGCGUGGGAACAUACCCUUUCCUGAGGAAUAGCUCUGGGAAACUGGAAUUAAUACCGCAUACGACCUACGGGGGAAAGAUUUAUCGGGGAAGGAUUGGCUCGCGUUGGAUUAGCUAGUUGGUGGGGUAAAGGCCUACCAAGGCGACGAUCCAUAGCUGGUCUGAGAGGAUGAUCGGCCACAUUGGGACUGAGACACGGCCCAAACUCCUACGGGAGGCAGCAGUGGGGAAUAUUGGACAAUGGGCGCAAGCCUGAUCCAGCCAUGCCGCGUGAGUGAUGAAGGCCUUAGGGUUGUAAAGCUCUUUCACCGAUGAAGAUAAUGACGGUAGUCGGAGAAGAAGCCCCGGCUAACUUCGUGCCAGCCGCCGCAGUAAAAC
rnacentral:rRNA from 1 species